rnacentral:rRNA from 1 species
UACAGAGGUCUCGAGCGUUAGGCGGAAUCACUGGGCUUAAAGCGUGUGUAGGCGGAUCGUUAAGUGCCUUGUGAAAUCCCACGGCUUAACCGUGGAACUGCUUGGCAUACUGGCGGUCUUGAGCAACCUAGGGGCGAGCGGAACAAAUGGUGGAGCGGUGAAAUGACGUAGAUAUCAUUUGGAACGCCAAUGGUGAAAACAGCUCGCUGGGGGUUUGCUGACGCUGAGA